UACGGAGGGUGCGAGCGUUGUUCGGAUUUAUUGGGCGUAAAGCGCGUGUAGGCGGUUUUAUAAGUCUGAUGUGAAAGCCCCGGGCUCAACCUGGGAAGUGCAUUGGAUACUGUAAGACUUGAAUACGGGAGAGGGCAGUGGAAUUCCUGGUGUAGGAGUGAAAUCCGUAGAUAUCAGGAGGAACACCGGUGGCGAAGGCGGCUGCCUGGACCGAUAUUGACGCUGAGACGCGAAAGCGUGGGUAG
rnacentral:rRNA from 1 species